AAGAAAUCUUCCAUAUUAUGGGGCAAACCUAACACAAGUUAUAACGGCUAGACCUCCUGUCUAAAAAGAAGCCGAAGUUUGGUACCUAAUACAUAUGAGCCACAUGAAGACCCAUGCUAGCCUAAGGACACAUGGUGGGGGGACAAAGUUGGCUAAUGAAGACAUGCUACGAGUGUGGAGGAUGAUAAUAAGGACCAGCCACCAGAGAAAUAAGUUCCUAUUUGACCAAAGAGAAAGAAGCAGAUGAAAUAUUCCCCAAGAAAAUUAGUGACCACAAUGAAUUGAGUCAUCACCGACUAUGAGAAUGUCCAGAAGAGAUUCACCAAGUUUGAAUUCAUGAAAAGGCUUUCACCAUGAUUAACUAUUGCAAGAACAGCUGUAAUUUCUGAGCAUUUCUGAACGCCUUCAAAGAGCUGCUUCCAGGAAAUGAAAACAAGAAGAAGAUCUCCUGUUUUCAGAGCAUUACAGGAAGACUAUUACGAAGGAGAUGGCUGAAGCAAAAAAUGUUACUGUUGAAAGAACCUAUUUUCUUGAGUUAAAGAAUAAGUAAUUCUGUUUUAGUUUUUCAAUCAGUAUUUCAGAGUAACAGUAUACUGACCAGACGUUAAACCCUCUGUUGUCUUAGAACAAGUUAUCUUUUGUUUUAUUCCAAUGUACAAAGGGUUUGUUCUACAGUUAUAAUGGUAGUUAUAAGUAGUCCAGUAUGUUUCACUUCAUUUGAGGUAAGACUUAAUAUCAAUGACUCUGUUAGCAUAGCAUUUGACACUGUAAUACUAAAUUACGUCUUUAUAAUUGUUGCUACUAGUUUCAAUUUACUUGAGGUAAAAGUUAAUAUUAAUGACACUUAAUGACAUUUUCAUAACUGCUGUUACUUGUUUCACUUUACUUGAGGUAAGAGUUAAUAUUAAUGAGGUAAGAGGUAAUAUUAACUCUUACCUCUUACUUGAGGUAAGAGUUAAUAUUAAUAUCAAUGACAUGAAGAUGUGAUUGAAGAUUACAUUUUCAUGUCAUCUUAAAUGACAUGACACUUAAUGACAUCUUCAUAACUGUUGCUACUUGUUUCACUUUACUUGAGGUAAAAGUUAAUAUU